GAUGAACGCUGGCGGCGUGCCUAAUACAUGCAAGUCGAGCGAACGGACGAGAAGCUUGCUUCUCUGAUGUUAGCGGCGGACGGGUGAGUAACACGUGGAUAACCUACCUAUAAGACUGGGAUAACUUCGGGAAACCGGAGCUAAUACCGGAUAAUAUUUUGAACCGCAUGGUUCAAAAGUGAAAGACGGUCUUGCUGUCACUUAUAGAUGGAUCCGCGCUGCAUUAGCUAGUUGGUAAGGUAACGGCUUACCAAGGCAACGAUGCAUAGCCGACCUGAGAGGGUGAUCGGCCACACUGGAACUGAGACACGGUCCAGACUCCUACGGGAGGCAGCAGUAGGGAAUCUUUCGCAAUGGGCGAAAGCCUGACGGAGCAACGCCGCGUGAGUGAUGAAGGUCUUCGGAUCGUAAAACUCUGUUAUUAGGUAAGAACAUAUGUGUAAGUAACUGUGCACAUCUUGACGGUACCUAAUCAGAAAGCCACGGCUAACUACGUG
rnacentral:rRNA from 1 species